UUAUUUGUUCAAUGUAGAUGCUCU
rnacentral:snRNA from 1 species